rnacentral:rRNA from 1 species
CUCGUAGUUGGAUUUCGGGUGGGUCUUUGCGGUCCGCCUCUGGUGAGUACUGCUAAGGCCCAUCUUUCUGUCGGGGACGGGCUCCUGGGCUUCACUGUCUGGGACUCGGAGUCGACGUUGUGACUUUGAGUAAAUUAGAGUGUUCAAAGCAAGCCUACGCUCUGAAUACAUUAGCAUGGAAUCACAUGAUAGGACUCUGGCCUAUCUUGUUGGUCUGUAGGACUGGAGUAAUGAUUAAGAGGGACAGUCGGGGGCAUUCGUAUUCCAUUGUCAGAGA